AACCUGGCGGCGUGCUUAACCAUGCAAGUCGAACGGAGUCUAGAUGAAAGCUUGCUUUUGACUAAACUUAGUGGCGGACGGGUGAGUAACGCGUGGGUAACCUGCCUUAUACAGGGGGAUAACAGUCGGAAACGACUGCUAAUACCGCAUAAGCGCACGGAAUCGCAUGAUUCAGUGUGAAAAGAUUUAUCGGUAUAAGAUGGACCCGCGUCUGAUUAGCUAGUUGGUGAGGUAACGGCCCACCAAGGCGACGAUCAGUAGCCGGCCUGAGAGGGUGAACGGCCACAUUGGGACUGAGACACGGCCCAAACUCCUACGGGAGGCAGCAGUGGGGAAUAUUGCACAAUGGGGGAAACCCUGAUGCAGCGACGCCGCGUGAGUGAAGAAGUAUUUCGGUAUGUAAAGCUCUAUCAGCAGGGAAGAAAAUGACGGUACCUGACUAAGAAGCCCCGGCUAACUACGUGCCAGCAGCCGCGGUAAU
rnacentral:rRNA from 1 species